rnacentral:rRNA from 1 species
AGUCGACGGAGAUUUUCAGGAAGUUUACUUUCUGAAUUUCUUAGUGGCGGACGGGUGAGUAACACGUGGGUAAUCUGCCUAUCACAUUGGGAUAACAGGGUGAAAACGCUGCUAAUACCGAAUAAGCCGACGGAGGUGGGAGCCUCUGCCGGAAAAGGAGCAAUCCGGUGAUAGAUGAGCCCGCGGCUGAUUAGCUAGUUGGUGAGGUAACGGCCCACCAAGGCGACGAUCAGUAGCCGGCCUGAGAGGGUGAACGGCCACACUGGAACUGAGAAACGGUCCAGACUCCUACGGGAGGCAGCAGUGGGGAAUCUUCCGCAAUGGGCGAAAGCCUGACGGAGCAAUGCCGCGUGAGUGACGAAGGCCUUCGGGUUGUAAAGCUCUGUCUUCAGGGACGAAUAAAUGACGGUACCUGAGGAGGAAGCCACGGCUAACUACGUGCCAGCAGCCGCGGUAAUACGUAGGUGGCAAGCGUUGUCCGGAAUUACUGGGCGUAAAGGGCGUGUAGGUGGACUGAUCAGUCGGAUGUGAAAUAUCCAGGCUUAACCUGGGGGCUGCAUUCGAUACGGUCAGUCUUGAGUGCAGGAGAGGGCAGUGGAAUUCCCAGUGUAGCGGUGAAAUGCGUAGAUAUUGGGAGGAACACCAGUGGCGAAGGCGGCUGCCUGGACUGUAACUGACACUGAGGCGCGAAAGCGUGGGGAGCAAACAGGAUUAGAUACCCUGGUAGUCNACGNCGUAAACNNUGGGUACUAGGUGUAGGAGGUAU